ACAAUGGUACCACACAGUUCAUUUCCCAUCUGCAAACCCUAAUCAAUGUUGCGGCGCCGUGAUAAACAUUGAAAGGAUCCAUAUAUAAAUAUUGAAGAACCCUAGGCAAUAGUUUGAUUGGGGUUGGGUUGAUGAACGACGCCCUGGGUUCAGAGCUGACAAUCGUCUCUAGUCUCCUUCAGAAUGAAGGAUUUAGAGGUUGCCUUGUGUCCUUUUGAUGGUCCAUAGAUGGUCUCCUGCCAUGCGAUUUUUUCGGUUUCAAGAUGAAGGAUUUUUUUGUCCUUAGAGCUGCAAAUCUUCUCUAUCGUCCUUCAAGAUGAAGGAUUUUUUUGGUUUCUUUGGGCCGUUCUAAUGGCCUGACGAAGAUCUUCUGCCGCUGGAGACCUGGAGGCAGCGUGAAAGCAAAAAAAUUUCUUCUUUUAUUUGCCUCUGCGUUGGUUUAUCUUCUACUUGGCAUCCGCAGACUGAUGAAAUUCUUCGUGAGAGUCAAAUUAGACGCAAGACAAGUUUCCAUUUCUUUGGCUUGCCUUCUUCUGAACCCAAUUGUUGCGGGUUCUACUGGUGUAGAAAUGGGAUGUGGGAAUAACAGAGGAACAGAUGUCGGGUUAACAUGGAUGUGCAGUGAAGAAAUGGUUAUGAAGAACUUUGUUAGUUGGGUCUUUUUCUCAACGCUUGUAAUCUCAAACCGAUCUACUUGGGUCUUUUUCUCAAUCCAACAAUUUGCUGAAUUUAUAGAAUUGUUUUGAUUAUUGGGAUUUCUAAGAUGUUUUCUCUGACCAUAAUAUAUUUGUUAACAAAAAAAAUUAAUGAUAUGCAGCAAUCUCAGUCC